rnacentral:lncRNA from 9 species
AUGCACUGCGAGGUGGCCGAGGCGCACUCAGACAAGAGGCCGAAGGAGGCCCCCGGCGCUCCGGGCCCCGGCCGGGGGCCCGCUGGCCUCGGCCCGCACAUGGCCUUCAGGGUCGCCGUGAGCGGCGGGGGCUGCGGGGAUGCGGGUCCGCGAGACCUGCUGCCCCGGCCUCCCGCACCACCGCGAGCCCACGACCUCCUGCGACCCCGGAGUCCCCGAGACUACGGCCCGUCCAAAGCCGCCGCCGCCGGGAAGGUGAAUGGGAGCUACGGCCACUGCACUCCGGGCUCAGAGAAGAGCCUGCUGGACCUGGACCUUGCCGAAGGCCCUGGCCCCACCUGCCGCCAGGGCCUGUUUCUCCCUGCAGGAAGCCCACCACCCCGGGGUCACCCCCCAGCCUGUGAGAGGCUGCUGCAUUUCCCCCAUCCCAGCAGGUCACCCAGGUCCCAGGCCGCGUAUGUGAACGGCAGUCUCCCGGCCACACAGCACAUCAAGCAGGAGUCCCUGCCCGACUACCGGGCCAUGGCGGAAGCUCGCGUGCCCCUGUCUGCCCACUGCCGGGCCCCGCCAGCCACAGGCCUGCACACGGACCUGGACCCCCCGGGCCGAGGCCUCGCCAACCCCGCACCUUCCUGCUACCUUCUGGGCAGUGAACCCAGCUCUGGCCUGGGCCCCCCACCCGAGGCCCACCUCCCUGAGGGAGGCCUGAAGCGCUGCUGCCUCUUGGGCCUGCCCCCCACCUCCUCGGCCUCCGCCUCCCCCUGUGCCUCCUCCGACAUCACCUCCAUCGUCCGCGCCUCCCAGACAGCUCUGGUCACCUGCGUAAAUGGACUUCGGAGCCCCCCUCUGCCGGGAGACCUGGGGGGCCCUCCCAGGCGGGCCCGGUCCAGCCCUGCAUCCACCGAGAGCCACGAGGGCAGUUUGCAACUCGAAGCCUGCCGGAAAGCCAGCUUCCUGAAGCAGGAGCCGGCGGAUGAGUUCUCAGAGCUGUUCGGGCCUCACCAGCAGGGCCUGCCGCCCCCCUACCCCCUGUCUCAGCUGCCGCCCGGCCCAGGCCUCGGAGGCCUGGGGCUGGGCCUGGCGGGCAGGGGGGUGGCUGGGCGGCAGGCGUGCCGUUGGGUGGACUGCUGUGCAGCCUACGAGCAGCAGGAGGAGCUGGUGCGGCACAUCGAGAAGAGCCACAUCGACCAGCGCAAGGGCGAGGACUUCACCUGCUUCUGGGCCGGCUGUGUGCGCCGCUACAAGCCCUUCAACGCCCGCUACAAGCUGCUCAUCCACAUGAGGGUGCACUCGGGCGAGAAGCCCAACAAGUGCAUGUUUGAAGGCUGCAGCAAGGCCUUCUCGCGGCUGGAGAACCUCAAGAUCCACCUGCGGAGCCACACGGGCGAGAAGCCAUACCUGUGCCAGCACCCAGGCUGUCAGAAGGCCUUCAGCAACUCCAGUGACCGUGCCAAGCACCAGCGUACCCACCUCGACACGAAGCCGUACGCCUGUCAGAUUCCUGGCUGCUCCAAGCGCUACACAGACCCCAGCUCCCUGCGCAAGCACGUGAAGGCCCAUUCAGCCAAAGAGCAGCAGGUGCGUAAGAAGCUGCACACGGGCCCCGACGCUGAGGCCGACGUCCUGAGCGAGUGUCUGGCCCUGCAGCAGCUCCACGCAUCCACACAGCUGGCUGCCAGCGACGGGAAGGGUGGCCGCGCCCUGGGCCAGGAGCUGCUCCCAGGCAUGUAUCCUGGCUCCAUCACCCCCCAUAAUGGGCUGGCAUCAGGCAUCCUGCCCCCUAUGCACGACGUCCCUUCCAGGCACCACCCACUGGAUGCUACCACCAGUUCCCAGCACCAUCUGUCCCCUCUGCCCACGGCCGAGAGCACCAGGGAUGGGCUGGGACCCAGUCUCCUCUCGCCCAUGGUCAGCCCAGUGAAGGGGCUCGGGCCACUGCCGCUGCCACCGUCUUCCCAGAGCCAUUCUCCAGGGGGCCAGCCCUUCCCCACGCUCCCCAGCAAGCCACCCUAUCCUCCCUUCCAGAACCCUCCACCCCAGCCUCUGCCCAGCCCGCAAGGCUACCAAGGAAGUUUCCACUCCAUCCAGAAUUGCUUCCCCUACGGGGACUGCUACCGGUCAGCUGAGCCCGCAGCCAGUGGGGACGGACUGGCCGGGGAGGCCCAUGGUUUCAACCCUCUGCGGCCCAAUGGCUACCACAGCCUCAGUGCACCUUUAGCUGCCACAGGCUACGAGGCCCUGGCCGAGGCCCCGUGCCCCACGGCGCUGCCACCACAGCCAUCUGAAGAUGUUGCGUCCAGCGGCCCCGAGGACUGCGGCUUCUUCCCCAAUGGGGCCUUCGACCACUGCCUGAGUCACAUCCCCUCCAUCUACGCAGACACCUGAAGGCUGCUGCCCGCCUCCACCGCAGACGCCACCCACCCACCUGCCGUCUCUUCCCACCCUCCAGGCACCCAGCCCGAGCAGCAGGCCACUGUGCCCGGAAUGCAGGGUGCCGGGUCUGCGGCGGCUGCCAGCUCCUGCCGGGAUGGUCCUCUGAGCCCGAGCCGGGCGCUCGGAGGUGCCCGUCAGGAUCCGUGACCUGUGACGUCCCUUGACUGGGUCUUCCUUUCUCUCUCCAAUGGUUUUGAAAUCACAGACCUCGUGUAUAUAAAAUGUACAGAACUUGUGUUCCAGUCCCCUGCCAGUUUUAUAUGUUGGGUUUUACAAGAAAAGCAUUAAAAACUGGAAAUGAGA